AAGUGACAGCUGCCGCAUCGUGCCGUUGCCGUUCCGUUGCCGCACUCCAUUGCGUUUCCCUUUAAUCGCGAGGUUGAUCGCCGGAAUUUUUUUUAAGUCGUUGGUGAGCUAAAAAACAAAAAGGAUGCAAAGUCCACUACACGGGAAAACGUUAAACGGAUUCAUGCCACCUGCGGGCACUGGUGUUACGCCACUCCAUACAGCGCUGGCGGAAUAAGCAAAUUGGCUGAAUAAAUAGGAUAUGCUUGAGAUGGUGGAGUAUCCAGCUUGGUAAUGGCGGAGAUAAACUGAUAAUAGUUCCAGCAAAAAUAUGGAUGAUGUAAAAACUAUGUAAAAAACUAUGUAAUAUAAUAGCAAUAAUAGCAACUUUCCUGUGUUGGCUUUAUUUCAAGAAAAUUGAAAACCACCUAAAUUUAAAUAUUACCCUAUAUUAUGGUUUGAAAAAUAGUAUACAUAUUAUAAUAUAGUUAUCAUAUAAUUGAAUAAUUAUUGCACAGCGUUUAAUUUGGAUGAAUAGCUUAAUCAUCAAAAAAUCAUACUAUUCAUCGUCUUUAUUAUAUAUAAUCAAACCCCAAAUGAUCGCACGUAACAAAAACGAAGAUAAACUAAUGAUUCAUGGUAAAAUUGCUUCACAAAAAUGCAUGGAAAAGUUGGUGUUUCUGAAUGGUAACGAUACUUAACAACCCAUUCGAUGUAUCAUCCAAAAGCUAAAUAUUUUAAGGGUUAUCGUAAAUAUCAUUCGUGGUAUAAUUAACGUACGGUAUUUCAUAUGAUUCCUCAAAUAAUUCAACUUUAAUUUUCUAUACUCAAAAAACGAUUACUAGAAAAAUAGUUGAAUAAUUCCAUUUUA